rnacentral:rRNA from 1 species
GACGAACGCUGGCGGCGUGCUUAACACAUGCAAGUCGAACGGAAAGGCCUGCUUUCUCUUGUGGAGUGCGGGUACUCGAGUGGCGAACGGGCGAGUAACACGCGAGUGAUCUGCCCCCAACUUGGGUCUAAGCCUGGGAAACUGGGUCGAAUUACCGAUAGGACUGCAGGGUGGUGCCUGUGGUGGAAGAUGAUCUUCUAGUGGUAGGGGAUGAGCUGGCGGCCUAUCUGCUUGUUGGUGGGGUAAUGGACUACCAAGGCGGGGACGGGUAGACGGCCUGUGAUGGUGGACGGCCACAUUGAGACUGGGUCACGGCCCAGACUCCUGCGGGAAGCAGCAGUGGGGAAUAUUGCGGAGUAAGCGUGAGGCUGAUGCGGCGACGGCGCGUGGAAGAUGACGGGCUUCGAAUUGUAAACUCCUUUCGACCGCGAGAUAGCCACCUGGUUAGGAGGGUGUUGACGGUAGUGGUAGAAGAAGCACCGGCUAACUACGUG